UGGAGGAGGGAGCAAGAAAGCUGACGGUGUUUUGAUUGGCUGUGGCAGAGCGGGAAACAGAAGGCGGGGUUCGCGCCAGUGUGUGUGAGAGGAGACACACUCUGAAGAGUUGGGCCGCCGCUGAGGAGAACUGCCAAAGAAUAUGAGGUGGUACGCUUCCCCUGAGGUGACCUGAGGCAGUGGGUGAACACCCCUGUCAGUCUGUUCACCACUGAGGGAAGUUGAGGCGCCACGGAGACAGAGCAGACACUCUGGGGAGAGACAGAGCUCCCUGAAAGCGCAUCCAGACUGACAUCCAUUCCAGCACAGCGGGAGUAUACUGAAUGUACUCAGGGAAAGAAAGUGCCAGUGACCCGCUGCGGUUCAGCUGGGACACACGAGUGGCUGCUGUAAGAACUCUGGAGCUGGGGACCCGGCCGACCACUGCUGCUACUGACAGAAGACAGCUUAGACAAGGGAAAAUGAAUUUUGCUAUGGAUUACAGAGCAGUGCAAGAAUGUUACAGUACUUACGAGUUUAUAGAAAGAAAGACUAUAGUAUCUUGAAGUUUAAAAAACAGUCUCUCUCAUUUGAAUUAUGGAGUGAUGCUCUGUUGCAUAGCAACUGCCUAAGGCAAACUAUAGCUAGACAAAAAUGUUUUACAUGAAUAAAAAGAACUUUAAAGAACUAAAUAUGAUCAAAGGGUAUACAGCAAAACACAUCUCCCCAUAAUGUGUAUCAUAUGCUAUGCAUUCUAUGUAUAACAUUUCUGCUUAAGCAAAUCUGUAAUGCUCUUGCAGUUACCCAAGCUAGCAAAAUCAAAUCAUAUAAAUGGUCAUGAAAAGAUAAAGUUAUGAUUAAAUUGUAAACCUACAUAUUACCCACAUGUCUAC